rnacentral:rRNA from 1 species
CCAAUGGCACUGCCCGGUAGCUAAAUGCGGAAGAGAUAAGUGCUGAAAGCAUCUAAGCACGAAACUUGCCCCGAGAUGAGUUCUCCCUGACCCUUUAAGGGUCCUGAAGGAACGUUGAAGACGACGACGUUGAUAGGCCGGGUGUGUAAGCGCAGCGAUGCGUUGAGCUAACCGGUACUAAUGAACCGUGAGGCUUAACCUUACAACGCCGAAG